rnacentral:tRNA from 1 species
GCGGGUAUGGCGAAAUUGGCAGACGCGCAGGAUUUAGGUUCCUGUGGAGCAAUCCAUGCGGGUUCGACCCCCGCUACCCGUACCA